rnacentral:lncRNA from 10 species
GAUGAGAGGCAAUAAAACAUUUGGGAGGUUGAACAUUUGAGCAAGCUCAGAAUAAUAGAUAAGGGGUGACAUAUGUUUGAACUGAUUUACAGAGGAGAAACACUAGAUACAUUUGGUGAUAAAAGAUUUUCUACAGAGUUAGGGAUAAAGCAUCCUAAUAAAAAUUAUGGUGUGUGAAGGUUAUUGCUUAAUACAAAUAAUUUGUUCUGAGGUACCUGGGGAUUAGGGCUUCAACAUAUGAGUUUGGGAGAGAAACAAGAGAAUGGCCCAUAACAGUGUCGAAGUGAGAAGUUGACUUGCAAACUGAUGACAUAGGCAGUAAGUAAGCACUGAGUGCCCGCUAUGCUGUUUUGAUCCACUGAGGGUCUUUUAAUAAAGUAAUGUUAACUAUUAAUGUCAUCACUGGAGUUAGUACUCACACAUCACUAUUCUUUUCUCUGAUCACUUUCUCAAUCCUACCUCAUCAUGUGACCAAAACAUGUCUAUUUGAGUUGAAAGUGUUUUUGCCAUGUUAGACACUUUCCUGCUAAGAGACAGGAUAUUGAGCAAACUUCUUAAUAAGUUAGUGUUGCUAUUUUAUUUAUAUAUGUAUAUAUACCUACACAUAUACACACACACAUUAUUUUGCUGUGGCUACUUUUAAUUUUAUAGAAUCCAUUUUUGUUGAGGCCCUCCUCAUAGGCAGUUAUUUUUCCUUGAAACUGCUGCUAGUUUGCUAAGAAUUUUGUCCUGAGUAAGAGAGGGUGAAAUGCUGCUAGUAUAAUAUGAAAUGCAUUUUAUGAGUUAAAAA